rnacentral:lncRNA from 1 species
CUUCUAAACACAUGUGUUUAACAGACAUGUUUCUAAAAAGAGCUCCUAUCUGCUCUCAUUCUUUCAGAAUAAGUUUUCUAAAGCUGAUUUGGACUACCUGGACUGUGUAAAGACAGCUGAAGGCACAGAACUGACAAAUCAACGAGAUACCGCUAAUCUCUGAUGGGCCUGGGCACACGAAGGUUUUCCAGGCCUGCUCUUCCCUUCUGCUCUUUUGUUGAAGCUGGAUCAUUGCGUAGGAGCAGUCAUUCCGGAAGGAAGGGCUAGGUAUUGAAGGAUAAUGUGCAAAUAUCAAGGUUACCUGGGUCUGCUGGUCACUUCUAGUUUUGGACUCUUGAAGAUGGUGAGAAGCAAGCAAGCAAUAAGGGAUCAAAGACUUGGAGUUAAGAUUCAGGUAAGAUAAAAAGAAUACCUAGAAUUAUUUAUAUAUAUAUAUAUAUAUAUAUAU